CCAAAAACAAUUCUGCUUCACUCAACUUGAGCCAGGCAAGCCAGAAGGGUAUUUCAAAGCAGCCCAGCACUCACAGCCCUGGCUGAGGAAGGUGGGAGAAAAAAGCAUUCCCAGGCUUUACAGAAUGCCUCCAUUGCCCCAACCUCUUCAGCCAUUUACCCAGAAGACAGAUGAUCAGAAACAUACGACUUGCUGCAAGAGGCAGCCCUCGGUGGGGCCGAGAACCGUGCCAGCGGAGCCGCAGGACGUGCAGAGCCGUCCCAUCGCCGUCUCAUCCCUGUCCCAUCGCCGUCUCA